UACGUAGGGGGCAAGCGUUGUCGGGAUUUAUUGGGCGUAAAGAGCGUGUAGGCGGCCAAGCAGGUCAGCUGUGAAAACUCGAGGCUCAACCUCGAGACGUCGGUUGAAACCGCUUGGCUAGAGUCCGGAAGAGGAGAGUGGAAUUCCCGGUGUAGCGGUGAAAUGCGCAGAUAUCGGGAAGAACACCCGUGGCGAAGGCGGCUCUCUGGGACGGUACUGACGCUGAGACGCGAAAGCGUGGGGAGCGAACAGG
rnacentral:rRNA from 1 species